UACGGAGGGUGCAAGCGUUAUCCGGAUUCACUGGGUUUAAAGGGUGUGUAGGCGGAUUUUUAAGUCAGUGGUGAAAUCUCCGGGCUCAACCCGGAAACUGCCAUUGAUACUAUCAGUCUUGAAUCCUGUUGAGGUGGGCGGAAUAUAUCAUGUAGCGGUGAAAUGCUUAGAUAUGAUAUAGAACACCGAUUGCGAAGGCAGCUCACUAAGCAGGCAUUGACGCUGAGGCACGAAAGCGUGGGGAUCAAACAGG
rnacentral:rRNA from 1 species